GCUGGACUUUCACCUGGAGGCUGGGCUGGGGGAGAAUCUGCUUACUCACGUUGUGGGCAGUGGGUGGCAGGACAGAGGCUCCAGCUUUUGGCUGGGGCUGCGGCGUUCCCUACGCCGACAUCAGUGCUUUGCUAUUGGAGCUUCUCCAGCAGGCCUGCUUACUUCCUCCAGCCCCAGGAGAGUCUGCAGUCUGGUAAGGAGUUUUAGUGACCACAGGACAUCCCAGCAAGUCACAGAUCUGUCCCAACCUCCCGGUGCAGGCGCUGCAGGUCCGCCACCGCGCAGCAGGCGGCGCCGGGCUCGCCUCCUCCGCCUCCAGGGCCGCGCGCCGUGGGCCCGGUCCCGCGCCGUAGGCCCUUCCGCGCGCCGGCGGCCGCGAUGGCGGACGUGUCCGAGAGGAAGCUGCAGCUGUCCGUGCUGUUGGCCUUCGCCUCCGGGGUGCUCGUGGGCUGGCAGGCGAACCGGCUGCGGAGGCGCUACCUGGACUGGAGGAAGCGGAGGCUGCAGGACAAGCUGGCGGUGAUGCAGAAGAAACUGGACCUGGCCUGAGCCCCGCGGGCCCCGCCGCUCCCGCGCGCCCCCCUCGCCGCGCGCCCACCUCGCCUUGCCCGCGCGGGGCCUCCAGCCUGAGCCGGCCUCCUCCGCAGUGCCCAGUGCCGCUUGUCGAAGAUGGAUAGAAAUCAUCUGUCCUUACACUUUAUGAGUCAAUUUUAUUUUUAAAAUAAAAUGUUAAACAUCUUUGAAACUU